GGUCCAGGGCAAGGUGAUCUAGUGGGUGGUGUCCCAGACCAUGGUAGAGGGUUUGGAACUAGAUAAUCUUUAAGGUCCCUUCCAAACCAAGCCUUUCUAUGAUUUUAUGAUUCUGUGCUCUAUGUACAAGGUUCUUUAUGUAUGGGUGAUUUCUAUUUUGAUAACAACAUCUAGUUCUGUGUCCUAUUUUUGCCCCCUCAUUUUUGGCCAGUGUGUUUGUAUUUAAUAUGUUUUUUUCUCUGCACCAAAGAGACCGAUUUAUGUCAUCUUACUUGUUCCCCCACCAAUCAUGUCUAAGACCUCCAUUUUAUCUAGUUCUCAAAAGCUUUUAUUGUUUUCAACAGUAUAUUUCAUUUUAUUUAUUUAUUUAUUUAUUUUUCAAUCCAGGUGCUUCCAAUUAAAAGGUGCUUUCAGAUAACUUUCAGUUAUCAGCUUUUACAGCGUUCACAUUUUCCCUGCUGAAGACUUAAUUAUUUGGUCCUUAAAUGAAACCUCCUUUCAAUUGGUUGUUUAAUCCUUGGCUCAAGUAUUUUGUCCAUAGAAUUACAUUUUCAAUAUGUUUUUUUCUCACUUGCUCACCUUCAGUUCCUUAACAUUUAGCUGGCAUUCUGUAUCUGGCACUAUAUAUACAAUUCCUUUCCCUACAUGCUAUUUAUGCAUAGUUUCCAAGGCAUACAGUUCUGCAUCCAUUCUUUUUCCUCCUGUGUUGCAAGCUCUUUUUCCCAUCUCCAAUUCCUUGCUUUUAAUUGAUAGGAUAAAAGUAAUUCCUUGGGUGUGUCUCUUUGUUCACAUGUGGAAUGGAUGAUACAGUCAGAGGCAAUGACACACCAACUACGUUUGAGGGAAAUGAUAAAUACAUUGCUCUUAAUCGUUUUAAAAAUGGGGAGCUUUCUAUGCAAGUGGAACAUUAAAAAAAAAAAAAGCAACUAUGUGACAGACAAAGCCCAGCUUUUCUGAUCUAAUUUUCUUCUUCCCAGUUCCAUCCAUGAAGUGUAAACGGUAAAUAAAUUAUUCAACAGUAUUCUAUAGUAGAGUCCAUAUUUUACACCAAAAGCUUUUUUGAAUGCUUACAGCAUUUCACAAAUCACAUAUUAAUCCCAUUAUUUAUAGGCUAAGCAAUUCCACAGACCUGUGACAAUCCUGAUAAACUCUAACUCCCCAUUCCUUCUGUUUAACCUUGAAUGUUGUAAACAUUUGAUGAUGUAUUCAGUGAUGUGACAGAAUUGGACUGAGUCUUAGAGAGUGAUCAUAAAGCCCUUCCUGUAAUAACUUUGGAUCUUUCUCCUUUACUGGAAUAGGGAACCUGAAAGGAGCUCAGAAAUACUCAGUUCAUAUAUAUUAAACUGUAAGGAUUCCCUCUGUUGAUAACCUCACUGAUUAAUUUGAAAUAAAGCUUUAGGCACAAAAUGUCAAUGUUAUUUAUUUAUUUUUUCCAAGUGAAGGGGAUGUUUUAUGCACAAGCUCAAAAGCCAGUUCAGAAAAAGUGAAGUGCUUUUAACAUUAUUAUGUAUUCUUCAUGUUAGUUCUUCUUAUCUGUUCCAGCAAGCUAUGCAUUAUAGGCUGUUAUUUAUAACCAAAUCUUGCUGCAUCCUGCUUUUAAAUAUGCUGACUGAGGGGUGGCCUUUAUGCACUGUUGUCAGAGUUCUAAUACACCAGGUUUUUAUACCUCACCCUACCUUAAAACAUCAAAGCAUGACAGCUUGAUGUGACAUUUCUAUAACUUCCCAUGCUUGCAAUACCCAUUUCUUACUCAGGAGAUAAAACGUAGAAAAAAAGACAUAGGAUAUUGUUUUGUUCUUUUGUAGCUAUUCACCUCAUCCGUAAAUUUUGAAACUACUGGCCACUGGGCUCAAAUAUAGAGGAGCUUAUAGACACUGCAGCUGGUAAAGGAGAGACUUUCUUAAGAACCCUCACAAAAAUGCAAGUCAAUCCUAGACUUUAUCAUUGCAAGAAGCACUGUUGGCUCAGAGGUAUUAGCUGACAAAUCAAACAAAAUGUGCGCUGCCUAUUGUCCUGUCAAAAAGAUUGAUAUUUUGGAGACCUGCAAGUACUUUAGAAGUGGAAAGGGAAGAUACUUCUGUUUCACUAGCUGAAUCUUCAAUACUUUACAACUUCAGAUUUCUCAACCUUGCUAUGUAAAAUGUCAGUGUGAAAACAAGAGCUCUUCCGAUAUUCAACAUUGCAAGAUGAAUCUCCAGUCAUUGCAAAGGAGUUUACUUCCAAUCAAUUAAGUUCUUAAGAGACAGUGCAACAAAUCAAUUUUGUUCCUCAAGGAACAAUCAUCACAGGCACAAUUCAGGGACAUCCUCACUCUUGGUAAUGUCAUAUUUUAAUUUGCUAGAGAAUACUUUGGAACUGGCCAACACAUGGCUUCUCAUCCAAAACAGGAACUGGGAGGACUGAACACUUUUUUUCUACUAACUUUUUUUUACACUAACACUGACAGCAACAAAAGAAUGCAUUGAGAUCCCCUGCAUUUAGUCAGAAUUCUCCAAAUAAUAAAAAAUCUUGCAUGUUACUAAAUGUUACUAAAUGUUACUGCAAUUAUUGGGACUUCCUAUUAAUUAAUUAAUUAAUAAUGGGUAUACAAAUAACAUGAGUCUUCAAGAACCAUCCUUCCAGACUUUGAAAAAAAAAAGUUGUUUUUAACAGCUACCAUUGUUAACAAUUAAAUCAACUUGUAAAAUGGAUUUUUUUUUAACACUCAUGUUAUCACAGAAUCACAGAAUGGUUGAGGUCGGAAGGGACCUCUGAAGAUUCUCUAGUCCACGCCCCCUGCCAAGCAGGGUCACCUAGUUUACCAUGUCGCACAGGAUUGCAUCCAGGGGGGGCUGAAUGGCCUGUAACAUACGAUGAAAGAAAGUAAGAGAGAAAGUAAGACAGAGAGUAAGUGAGAAAGGUUGAAGGAAAGGAAAGGUCUGGAUCACCAUCCCAGGUUCCAGAGACAUCUCUGGUCCAGUUCUUGUCAUGUCUGCCAUGGUGGUGGGUACACACGUGGCCCCUAUGUGUUUUGCUAUUUAUGAAUCCGUCCCUACCCAAGCUCUCAUUUUGUAUGCUAAUUAUUCCAAGCCCAUGUCCCAAGACCUUCUUAAAAAGGAGUUGGUGGGGGGUUGCUAAUGCCUUUCCUCCCUCAACUACCAGAAACACUGGUGUCAAUAUUUCUCAGGUUGUUACCCAAGAUAAGGAAAUAGGCCCCCAAAAAUGCUAUCCCGCCUCUGCAGGAUCCUCUUUUCUGACCGCAGCUUAUCUCGUUAGUGUGAUAACACUUUUUCUCCGCUGAAUCAUUUUUUUUUUCUUCAGAUUCUUACAAUCCCUUCAGACAACUGCUAUGUUGUGGACUCAUCCAUGACCACAGACACUUUGAGGUGUUCCAGCAUGGCCUAAUCUGCAGACACAACAUUGCAAGAUAUACUUCCUCUAGCACACUUAUCCAUGGCCACAGAUGCUUCAAAGUGUAGUGUACAUGCUCUGGAGUGGAUUUAUCUGCGUCCACAGAUGCAGGUUGUAAAUGCUCCCAUGUAGAUGUAUCCAAAGAUCACAGUCUCUCUGACUCAAGUUCACUCCAGAGUUCCAGCCUGUGCUGUACAGCAGCACAGAAACACCAAUGACUUGGCUGUCUGCCAGCUCAGGUGCAUGGCAAUAGCUGUUACCAAGGCAUUCCUAGGCACAGCAAAAUAAGAUUAUAAGGAGUACAGCAAACAGCAGAAGCAAAAUCAGCCCCUAAAAAGCACUAGACUCUUAUAGAUAUACAUUAAGGCAAGCAAGCCCUUUGGCAACCAUCAGAGCAUGUAAGUUAACAUCAAAACAUAAUAAAAUCAAAACACCAUAACCUCUAUAAAUUUGGUCUAGCACACCCCACACUCCAAAUCUACCAUCAACUUGAAUCCUUCAAACCUCACAUUGGGUGCCAAAAAAAGGGUGGUUGGGGUUUAAAUCCAGGAAGCAUUUAAGCAUCACAGUCACUCAUUCACUCCUGCCAUGGUGGGAUGAGGACAUUUGUGGGUUGAGAUAAAGACAAACCAACUCAGCAAAAGCUGGGUGUACAAGCAAAGCACAACAAUGAAUUAAUUCACUGCUUCUGUAUGGGGUCUUGCUGGGAUCGAGUUAACUUUUCCCACAGCAGCCCAUAAAGUACUGUGCUCUGCAUGAGUAGCUAGAGCAGUGUUGAUAUCACUCUAAUGUUUUGUCUAUUGCUGAGAAGUUCUGGCACAGCAUCAAGACUGUGUCUCUCCAACACUCAAAAAAAAAAAAAAAAAGCCUGUAGACUGGGGGAGGGGAAAAGGUGGUGAGUAGAUGCAACAAGGACAGCUGACCUAAAAUGACCUUCCAUACCAUAUGACAUCAUGCUCAGCAAUAAAAGCUGAGGAAGGAGGGGCUCUGUUUAUGAAAAUGUCUGUUUUCCUGAGCAACCACUACACAUAUUGGUGCUAUGCUUCCCAGGAUAUAGCCAAACAUUACUAGCUGAUGGGAAGUAGAGAAUAAUUGUUUUGUUUUCUGCUGUUGCUUCUGCAUGUGACUGGGAGAAGUGCCCAAAGACUGGAGGAAAGCAAAUGCCACUCUUAUCUUCAAGAAGAGUAAGAAGGAGGGCCCAGGGUAUUACAGGCCAGUCAACUUCAUCUUGAUCCCUGGGAAGGAACAGAUAAUCGUGGUAACCAUUUCCAGGCACGUGAAGGACAAGAAAAUCAUCAGGGGUAGUCAUCAUGGAUUUGCCAGGGAGAAGUACUGCUUGACCAACUUGAUACAAUGAAAAGACUGGCCUGGCAGUAGAGGAGUAGUGCAGUAGGAGAGCAGUGGAUAUUGUCUUUCUGUACUUCAGUAAGGCCUUUAAAAUGUUCUUCCAUGAGACUGUUGUAGAUAAGCUGCUGAUGUAUACCCAGCUGUUGAUGGCUGGGUAGGCAGACAGUGAUAUCAGUUGAAAACUGGCAGAAUGGCUGAGCCCAGAUUGGUAUGAUCAGUGAUGCAAGUCGAGUUGGAGGUCAGUGACUAGCAGUGUACCCCAGGGUACAAUACUGGCUUCAGUCCUGUUUAAUAUUUUCAUUAAUGACUUGGAUGAUUGGGUAGUGUAUAGCCCAGCAAGUCUGCAGAUGACACAAAACUGGAGGAAGCAGCUGAUAUAUCAGAGGGUCAUGCUACCAUCCAGAGGGAUCUUGGUGGGAUGAGGGGAACCUUGUGUAGUUCAGCAAGGGGAACUGUGAAGUCCUGCACCUAGCGAGUAACAACCCCAUGCUCCAAUGUGGUCUACCCAACUGAAAAGAACCUUGGCAGAAAAAGACCUGGGGGCCAUGGUGGGCACCAAGCUGAACAUAAGCCAGAUACUAACCCUUGCAGUAAAGAAGUCUAAUGGUAUCCUGGACUGCAUUAUGCAAAAUAUUGCCAGUAGGUUGAGGAAGGUGGUUCGUCCCCUCGACUCAGUCCCAGUGAGGCCACACCUGGAGUACUGUGUCCAGUUGUGGGUUUCCCAGUACAAGAGAGACAUGGACAUUCUGGAGAGACUCCAACAAAGAGUCACAAAGGUAAUGAAGAAACUGGAGCAUCUCUCCUGUGAGGAAAGGCUGAGAGAACUGGGACUGUUCAGCCUCGAGAAGAGAAGGUUCAGGAACAACCUUAUCAAUGUACAUACAUACCUGAAGUAUGGGUGCAAAGAAGGAGGCUAUUUUCAGUGGUGCCUCAUAAUAGGACAAUAGGCAAUGGGCACAAAGUGAAACACAGGAGGUUCCCUCUGAGCAUCAUGAAACUAUUCUUUAUUGUGCGGAUGACGGAGCACUGGCACAGGUUGCCCAUAGAGGUUGUGGAGAUAUUCCUCUUUGGAGGUAUUCAAAAGCUCUCUGGACAUGGUCCUGGACAAUUGACGCUUGGUGACUCUACUUGAGCAGGGGUGUUGGACCAGAGACUCUCCAGAGGUUCCUUCCAAGCUCAGCCAUUUACUGAUGUUGUGAUUGAAGUUGCAAAAGCAAUAAAGAAUUAAAACAAACUGAGAAUUGUAAUGAAAGACGACAGGACAACACCUGUUUUCUUAGGUAUCUCCACCAUUCUAGAUUUUUUAUUAUAUGCCAAAAUGAUAUGUAGUAGCUCUCUCUGGUGUCAGUUGUAAUUUCUCUGCCAAUUGCACAGGUGUUACUCUAGCAAUUGCUGCUUAUAUGUAUUAUAGUUUUCCUACUUGUUCAUUUUUUCUUAUUUUAAAUGUUUUUCUUCAGAAAUGGAAGGGACAAAUCAAAUGUGUGUUGAAACUGGGUCCAUACCGAAGCUUAACCUCAACCUUGCAAAGCCUAGCACAUAGAAACCA